GUUCCUUCGAGGGUAUCCGAUAAAAUUGGACGAUAUAGAAAAGAUUAGCAUGGCCUCCUAACAAGAAUGACAUGCACAGAUCAAAAAAUAGUCCAAAUAUUU